CCAGGGUUGCCACGUUGCAGGACCCUUUAACACCGGUUGGUGGUGUUAAAGGGGUUCUUUUUUUUUCAUUUCUUCGGUUCUGUUUAUUGUUUUUAUAUAAUAAUAAUAGGUUUUUCAAUACAUAUUUUAUGCUAAUACAAUAAUAUAUAUAUAUUACACGCAUAUUAAGCAUAUAUAAAUAAAAAUUAUAGGCUUAGCUUUAUAAUUAAGCUUUGCCGAUAAUAAAAUGAAUAGGCCAC
rnacentral:lncRNA from 1 species